AGGGUGUAAACGCUGCAGACUUGGUGUUGGAAGUCCUUUGGGGGCAUUCAGUGCCGGAGAGAAGUUGUUAAGUCUGCUACUUGGGGAGUACGUCCGCAAGGAUGAAACUUAAAGGAAUUGGCGGGGGAGCACCGCAACGGGAGGAGCGUGCGGUUUAAUUGGAUUCAACGCCGGGAAGCUCACCGGAUAAGACAGCGGAAUGAUUGCCGGGCUGAAGACCCUGCAUGACCAGCUGAGAGGUGGUGCAUGGCGUAGUCGUGU
rnacentral:rRNA from 1 species